rnacentral:snRNA from 1 species
AACCUAAAAGCUAAGAUCUGUCG